AUUCCUGUGCAACCGCACGAACAUCGUAGUGCUCACUUAGUGAGAGAGAAGUGGUUCGUCCCACGAUGCUAGGCGAGUCUUCACAAAAAU
rfam:Streptococcus intermedius B196, complete genome.